UACGUAGGCAGCGAGCGUUGUUCGGAGUUACUGGGCGUAAAGAGUGCGUAGGCGGUUUUCUAAGUUUGGUGUGAAAUUCUCCCGGCUCAACUGGGAGGGUGCGCCGAAGACUGGAAGGCUUGAGUAUGGGAGAGGUAAGCGGAAUUCCUGGUGUAGCGGUGAAAUGCGUAGAUAUACAGGAGGAACACCUGCGGUGUAGACGGCUUACUGGACCAUAACUGACGCUGAGGCACGAAAGCGUGGGUAGCAACAGGA
rnacentral:rRNA from 1 species